rfam:Picea glauca, whole genome shotgun sequence.
UCAUUGGUGUUUAUAAACACCACCAAUGUGUGCAAGAAUUAAUUGU